GAACAGGUUGAGAGGAAUCUGCGUUAUUUAUUAAACAUAAAAGAUGCUCAGAUAGUGAUAUAUUUCCAAACAGUAACUAUAUUUACUUUUUGUGUGUUCAUGAAUACAGGUUCACAGGUGACAUUAAGGGUCGCGGUUCUGAGUGUACCUUGCUCAGAUUAAUUGUGCUAAGGAGGCUGGGGGGGGGAGGGAGGGAUUCCAUGGGCAUGUAUUGAUGGAUUUUAUAUCACUUUUUUUCUGACCCACAGCCAGGAAAUUAGGUAGCACUCUGGACUGUUUGUGGGGCCACAAAAUAGGGUGCAGCCCUUUGUGAAUAUUACGAUCUUGAAAGAACAGUUUCAUUGAAUAUUUACAUGUAAUUUUUCACAACGGCAAAGCAUCUUCAAAACAGAUGCCUGUUAAUGAUGAGUAAUUCCUCUUUUAGAAGUGUUUGAAGUGAAUAAGGCUAAUUCACAUGGCUGAUCCCACAAAAUAGGGAUUACAUCUUUUAUAUGAAAACUGCAUUUUAAGCAAAAUGAGUUAACUUUACCUUUUGAGCUAGAAUGGCUCUUCUGUUUCACAGAAAGACAUUGUAGUGGAAAGCUUAUGACCACUAAUAAAGCAAAAACCGUCACACUCAAAUGUUUAGGUAGUCUGCCAUAUACGCAAAGGUAUUUGCAGUGAUUUUUGCUUUGUUUUUGAAACAAAACCACAUGAUAAUUUAUUUCUGCUGAGGUGUAAAUAAUUUAGUUGAACCAUAGAAUUCAUCGUCUAUUAUCAUGUAUUAUAAUUUCAUAUUUGAAUUAGAAACAAAAGAAAAACACUUCCUUGUGCAGGGCAUGUAAAGAGCUGUAGCAGCAUUUAGAAACCUUGGGAAGUGAGAGCCUGUGCGACAUGGGCAUAGAGAGAAAGGCAAUCGAGGACCAACAACUCAAGACUGAAGAAAUGUCUUGCUUGUUGGUGAGGCUGAUACAGUUGUGGCUGUCUCUGGAGUCACACUUCCUAGGUUAGAGGUUGUUCUCCAGCCUCUUGCCUGUAUUUUGGCCUGAUGCUUCAGAUGUAGCUGACCAUCUCUCUGUCACAUGAGGGCUUUGCAGAAAAGCUUGCAAUGCUAAGUUGUCGAUGCUUGGAAUACUUACAAACCCUAUAACAGGAAGUGUAAUUGGUGUAAGUGCUGAACAGCUAUAAAUGCUGAACAAGUCUCACAUGGAGAAUAAGAGUUUUGACAUGAUUUCUGGAACAUGGGUUUCAGAAUAGUUCAUGAGUAACUCAUGAUGAAGCCACCUUUCCUCAUUCAUUCCAGUUCCUGAAAGAAACAGUAAACAAAUAGGAGUAGUUCAUAUCUGAAGUUUUCCUCGCUUCUGUACUCAUCUGACACAUUUCCUCCUGCUGUUUCUUCUGCUGUGUUCAUACGGAGAUCAUCUGGGCACCAUGCUGCUGAAAAAUCUCUCUGUCCUCCAGGACUCAAUGUGGACAAAGUCAGCAAAUUCAUUGCUGAUCAGAUCACUUUUACAGACUGAAUAGCCUCAUCUUUUUCUGAAAUGGAGAAGAGCAUGCUUGCUUAAACUAUGCUACAGUGGUGAAAAAGGGAGUUUUUAGAUAUGCAGAAUGAAAUGACUAGCAAAUGAAGGUUACCUUUCUCUUUGGGAAAAAUUAAGUGCCCAUUCCUCUCUGGAAGCAGUGCUUGGAUUGUUGUGGUUUGCUGGUGAUUCAAUAAUCAAAAUCUUAUUUGUAGUGUCUUUGUAGCAGACUGCACAGACUGCAGUUAUUCUUCCUGAAGCAGAAAACCACAACUAAGGGACUGUAAUAUGAAGAAAGAGUGGGGGAUGGAAGAAAAAUGAAAAGCUAGAGCAUACCUUUGUCCAAGGUUUUCAUUCUUGUCUAACCUUUCCCAUCAUCUCUAUCCUUAUAAUUCUUUCAGGAGAUGAUAGAACAAUGUCCUCUCUGACUACAGAAAAGCACUCUCAAAUUUCCGUACCACUACUUGAAGUGUGGUGAUGCUUUUAAAGCAGACAUUUUCCGUGGCCUUAACUGCUCGCAGGUCUGUCCUAAACCUGAAGUAGCCACUGUGCAUACCUAAUUUGUGGUACAGCCACGACUGACUUGAUUUUACCAAGCUAUCUGAUCUCAAACCCACCCACAAGCUGGAAGGCAUAGAGUGAUGUUAAGCAGACCCACUUCCUGAUCCAUCAUAUAUGGCAGAAAUAUACAUCAGAAUACAAGCAAAGAAAUUAAAAGUCCGUGUCAUUCCCUACCCUGGAGGCUGAAGUGCACUUGAGCCUGGUCCCUCUGCACCAUCCUCAUAACCUGCAUUUGGCAAAAUUCUCAGCUUGUUCCCCCAGUGUUGUCGUUGUAGAAGAGAGCGGUAGUCUUUGAUUUAUUACUGUUGAAACCACUGACAUGCUGAAAAACAGGUACCGUCUCCAUAAACCUUCCAACAUUACCGAUUCUUGCUACUGGCUUUUUGCCCUUGAGGGUGGCUUCUGUGAUUACAUUUCCUGUGUCCCUGCAAUUUUUCAGGCUGGGUAUAUUGGCAAAAAAACUUUCAGGAACUGUGAUCCUAAAUCUAACCAUGAAUGUUUGUGGGUUUCUUUUCUUUUGAGUUUCUUUCUUGCCUGUGGUCUUCCUCAGUCUUCUUAGCUUGCUUUUUACUGCCUUGCAAUCAGGGUGGUGGGGAAGUACUGAUAAAGACAGAGGAGAAGACCUUUGACAUUAGAAGGUUUUUAAAUUAUGUGGAAAGAUGUUUAAAUAAGAGGUUCAAAGGGGGCUUUACCAACUUGUUAUUGGGUAAAUUGUGUUGCUAUUUAGGAUUUAGUUGUUUGGGGCUCCUCUGCUGCUGUAAAAACAGUUAUGUUCGUGUUAUUCAAAUCAUACCAGUGAACAUAAACACAAAAAUGAAUAGGAAAUGAAGAUGAUUUUUUUGUAUGUUAAUGUACUUAAAACAUGGGAAACUUAUGUUUAAUUACUUACACUUUUUAACAGGAUUCACAGUCCUUUCCCCCACUGACCUACUCUUUGUCCACUGUAUCAGGACAGGCUCACCCAGGUUGGCAUCGCUCUUCCUAAUGAAGUUGGCCCAGUAGUCAGAAUAGAACUGAAGAUCUGUUGGGUGAAGUAGUACAAGAAGUAUUAACAACUGUCUAGAAAAAUGGAAUCCAUUAUCAGAAACUUAAAUCACAUUUUUAUUGCAUUUAAAGUGUUCAAUAUUAAAAAUGUUGAAACAAAAAUGGUUGUUUCAUACAUAUUUUGAGUUAGGCAUUGAACAAAAUACAAGUUGCUGAGUAAUGAUACUGCUGAUAGACCUGCAGGAUAUAAGUACGUUGAAGUGUACAGAUGUAAUCAGUGAUGUAUUUAGUGAAAUGUAUAGCAAAUAUAUCAGAACAGAAAUAUUUUUUUUACCACUUAGUCUAUAACUUGUGAUUUUGUCAUUAUUAGAGUUCCUGUGAGAGCAGUUGUACUGUAAGAGAGUUACAAAUAUUUAAACUUUGCAGAAGAGUUCGUUAAGUUUAUAAUUAUUGUGUGAAAUUCCAUAUUAUGCUACUAAUUUGCUCUCUUUUAUUUUAUUCCCUGUUGCUGCGUUGCUUCAGCCAAGACUUGCAGAACUAAGCCAACCCCUGGC